CCUACGGGUGGCAGCAGUGGGGAAUAUUGCACAAUGGGGGCAACCCUGAUGCAGCGACGCCGCGUGAGCGAUGACGUAUUUCGGUAUGUAAAGCUCUAUCAGCAGGGAAGAAGAUGACGGUACCUGACUCAGAAGCCCCGGCUAACUACGUGCCAGCAGCCGCGGUAAUACGUAGGGGGCAAGCGUUAUACGGAUUUACUGGGUGUAAAGGGAGCGUAGACGGCGAUGCAAGCCAGAUGUGAAAGCCCGGGGCUCAACCCCGGAACUGCAUUUGGAACUGUGUGGCUGGAGUGUCGGAGAGGCAGGCGGAAUUCCUGGUGUAGCGGUGAAAUGCGUAGAUAUUAGGAAGAACACCGGUGGCGAAGGCGGCCGGCUGGGCGAUGACUGACGUUGAGGCUCGAAAGCGUGGGGAGCAAACAGGAUUAGAUACCCCAGUAGUC
rnacentral:rRNA from 1 species